rnacentral:rRNA from 1 species
UACGGAGGGGGCUAGCGUUGUUCGGAAUUACUGGGCGUAAAGCGCGUGUAGGCGGCAAGGCAAGUCGGGUGUGAAAGCCCUGGGCUCAACCCAGGAAGUGCAUUCGAUACUGCCAAGCUAGAGUCCCGGAGAGGGUGGUGGAACUCUCGGUGUAGAGGUGAAAUUCGUAGAUAUCGAGAAGAACACCGGUGGCGAAGGCGGCCACCUGGACGGUGACUGACGCUGAGACGCGAAAGCGUGGGGAGCAAACAGG